GACGAACGCUGGCGGCGUGCUUAACACAUGCAAGUCGAACGGAAAGGCCCUGCUUUUGUGGGGUGCUCGAGUGGCGAACGGGUGAGUAACACGCGAGUAACCUGCCCUUGACUUUGGGAUAACUUCAGGAAACUGGGGCUAAUACCGGAUAGGAGCUCCUGCUGCAUGGUGGGGGUUGGAAAGUUUCGGCGGUUGGGGAUGGACUCGCGGCUUAUCAGCUUGUUGGUGGGGUAGUGGCUUACCAAGGCUUUGACGGGUAGCCGGCCUGAGAGGGUGACCGGCCACAUUGGGACUGAGAUACGGCCCAGACUCCUACGGGAGGCAGCAGUGGGGAAUAUUGCACAAUGGGCGGAAGCCUGAUGCAGCAACGCCGCGUGCGGGAUGGCGGCCUUCGGGUUGUAAACCGCUUUCGCCUGUGACGAAGCGUGAGUGACGGUAAUGGGUAAAGAAGCACCGGCUAACUACGUG
rnacentral:rRNA from 1 species